rnacentral:lncRNA from 1 species
ACACCUUAUUCUGUUGUUAAACAUUACGAUAGUUAGUUACGUCGAUUCACGACAGUGUACAAUCGCAUUGCAAUUGGUUUUACAAGUAAGAAGGAUGUGAAUGUGUUCGUUAUUUCCAUCAUGUGCGAUAAUAAUUCAAAUGCUGCGGUAGAUACAUAUGAAGGAAAAUGGUUCGACGCUUCCGACGUCUUGACCACACACGUUCAUCUAUGUUAUAUCUCUUUGAUUAUGGAUUUUUAAAAAAUAUAGAGUGUAUAUACAAAACUUUUUAUUUCAAUCGAUGACGUGAAAGUACGAAUUGAAAGAUACCGCUUAAGUAGUUCAUCAAAAUUAUAUUUAUAGAAAUUAUCAAUUUUUUGUACUCCUGUGUACGUGUACGGUGGCGAACAAACAGAAGUUUACAGAGUAAAACGAGAGAAACGCUAUAAUUUUAUAAAUCUGAAUUAUGAUUAACAAGAAGCGACAAAAAAUGGAAAAGGGAAAUGAUUGUUAUAUAUAAAUAAAAAUCCAUAAAUAUUAUGGAUUUCGAAACAUGGCUUUUCAGAAAGUUUUAAAACAUAAGUGUGGUAAAAUUACCAAUCGUUUGGUUAAACGUAUCGAAAAAUUGUUGCAGUAUGAAGCAUUACAAAUUUUUCAUUGUUCAGAAAUAUUCCUAUUUGAGCUUCGACUUCAAGAAUAUUUAUUGGAUAUUAUUCAAUUUUUAUUAUUCGUUCAAGUGCCUGAUUUGUCCUGCUUCUGAUUCAAGUAAUUAAUAUUUUACUAUAUUCAUUUGCAAAUGAACAAUAAUAACACUGGAAAAGUUAAUAGUAAGAAAAUUCCAUGAAGGCGAAAAUAAAAUUUAAACUUUUCUAUGAGCACUUUUUAUUUGAGAGUGUCCAAAGUAAUAAAUAAAAUUUAUGCAUGUACGUAAAUCUUUCGUCAUGGGAACUUUGUAAAAAUCAUUUGCAUGAUAAUAAUGACACGAUUCUCGAGGAUAAUAAAAUAGACGCGUACUGAGUGCAAUUAGUGCUAAGAGCAAUUCCAGAUUAUAUUACUGAAAUUAGUAGUAGCUGUGGCGAGCAACUGUAUCAUCACAUUGAUUAAAAUUUAUGCUAUACCAGAUACUGUUACUGAACGCAUACAACCACUCGAAACGUCUACCGAGUUCGAAACGUAAAAAACGAAAGAUAUUUUUAAUCUGACUAAAAUCAAGUGGUUUUACUAACUUAAAAGCAAUAACUGCUCUUUUCACGAUAAACGAUCUUUUUAAUUAUAAUAUAUACUAUGAAUUACA